rnacentral:rRNA from 1 species
UUAGUAGAAACAAACCAUAUUUAGUGAAUACAAUUCGCUAGCAAGUUUUAAAAUUAAUGAGCUAAACAUCUUUAAGAUGUUAAUCAACUUUUAUUGAGAGUUUGAUCCUGGCUCAGGACGAACGCUGGCGGCGUGCCUAAUACAUGCAAGUCGAACGCUUUGAUUUUCACCGGAGCUUGCUCCACCGAAAAUCAAAGAGUGGCGGACGGGUGAGUAACACGUGGGCAACCUGCCCAACAGAGGGGGAUAACACUUGGAAACAGGUGCUAAUACCGCAUAAUUUGUUUUCCCGCAUGGGAGAAUAAUAAAAGACGCUUCGGUGUCACUGUUGGAUGGGCCCGCGCUGCAUUAGUUAGUUGGUGGGGUAAUGGCCUACCAAGACCGUGAUGCAUAGCCGACCUGAGAGGGUGAUCGGCCACACUGGGACUGAGACACGGCCCAGACUCCUACGGGAGGCAGCAGUAGGGAAUCUUCGGCAAUGGACGAAAGUCUGACCGAGCAACGCCGCGUGAGUGAAGAAGGUUUUCGGAUCGUAAAACUCUGUUGUUAGAGAAGAACAAGUGGGAGAGUAACUGUUCCCACCUUGACGGUAUCUAACCAGAAAGCCACGGCUAACUACGUGCCAGCAGCCGCGGUAAUACGUAGGUGGCAAGCGUUGUCCGGAUUUAUUGGGCGUAAAGCGAGCGCAGGCGGUUUCUUAAGUCUGAUGUGAAAGCCCUCGGCUCAACCGAGGAAGGUCAUUGGAAACUGGGGAACUUGAAUGCAGAAGAGGAGAGUGGAAUUCCAUGUGUAGCGGUGAAAUGCGUAGAUAUAUGGAGGAACACCAGUGGCGAAGGCGACUCUCUGGUCUGUAAUUGACGCUGAGGCUCGAAAGCGUGGGGAGCAAACAGGAUUAGAUACCCUGGUAGUCCACGCCGUAAACGAUGAGUGCUAAGUGUUGGAGGGUUUCCGCCCUUCAGUGCUGCAGUUAACGCAUUAAGCACUCCGCCUGGGGAGUACGGCCGCAAGGCUGAAACUCAAAGGAAUUGACGGGGGCCCGCACAAGCGGUGGAGCAUGUGGUUUAAUUCGAAGCAACGCGAAGAACCUUACCAGGUCUUGACAUCCUUUGACCACUCUAGAGAUAGAGCUUUCCCUUCGGGGACAAAGUGACAGGUGGUGCAUGGUUGUCGUCAGCUCGUGUCGUGAGAUGUUGGGUUAAGUCCCGCAACGAGCGCAACCCUUAUUGUUAGUUGCCAUCAUUCAGUUGGGCACUCUAGCGAGACUGCCGGUGACAAACCGGAGGAAGGUGGGGAUGACGUCAAAUCAUCAUGCCCCUUAUGACCUGGGCUACACACGUGCUACAAUGGACGGUACAAUGAGUCGCGAGACCGCGAGGUUUAGCUAAUCUCUUAAAGCCGUUCUCAGUUCGGAUUGUAGGCUGCAACUCGCCUACAUGAAGCCGGAAUCGCUAGUAAUCGUGGAUCAGCACGCCACGGUGAAUACGUUCCCGGGCCUUGUACACACCGCCCGUCACACCACGAGAGUUUGUAACACCCAAAGUCGGUGAGGUAACCUUUUGGAGCCAGCCGCCUAAGGUGGGAUAGAUGAUUGGGGUGAAGUCGUAACAAGGUAGCCGUAUCGGAAGGUGCGGCUGGAUCACCUCCUUUCU